AUAAAGCAAAGAAGCAGAACCUGAGGACAUAUCUUGCUAGCGGGUGCAUAAAAUAAAUAUGCAUACAUAAAGCACGGAUGCUCCUGACACAGUUCAAACCUUGGGGGCUGGAUGCUGAGAUGCUGAAUGUCUGGUCACUGAUGAUGGAGCAGGAUAAUGUGGGGGAGGAGCUUGGUGGGGCGACUCUCCCUGCUUGGAGUGCGUUGCCUCUGAGAUGACUCUGCAAAAUGCACACUGACCUCUGCUUUGGUUUUUGCCUCUUUCAUAACAGCAGAAAUUCUCUUCAGAUUUUUUUCAGUUAUCAAAAACAUGCUGAUGUGGGCCUUUCACAAAAGCAAAGUAACAUCAAGUAGACUUUUGAAAAGUGGGGGAUACGUGUAGCCGCCUCUGCAGCUGUUUCCGUUCUUCUUGAUCACCAAGUGGACGCUCUCAUCCUUCCCUUGAGGCUGUUGAUCUGAAUUAUUCCUCAGGGCCACAUGCUUGACUUCUCCAAGUGGAAACGCUUAAAGCAAACUGCAGGUGUGUUCUCUUUAUUAACGUUGGACCUCAAACUACUUCCUUCAUCUGAAUGCCAUCCUCACCUAGACAUCAACAUAAAGGUCUCCAAAGUACAUAUUUAGGAAAAGAGCUUUGGGCAGAAAAGACAGUCAUCUUACACUGGUAAGUCCCCUAAUUCAACUCAUGUAAAAAUGUG
rnacentral:lncRNA from 1 species